rnacentral:lncRNA from 1 species
GAAAAAUAUUAAGGUCAUAACAUGGAACUUGAAGUCAGGAAAACAGGAAGAGUGGUUAAUGUUAAAAGGAAUCAAGAGAACUGCUUCAGACAAACCGGAAAGGACUAUACUGAAGUUCACUCUUUUCCUACUUGUUAAAAAAGAAGAGUUGAGAAUGAAUUAUCUAAUAAAUUCAUUCCUGAUAUUCUACUUACUCCUUGUUUGGCUUUUGGUAAGUCACUUAAUCUUUGAGUCUUCCUCACUCAGCUGCAAAAUGGGAGGAAUUGGAGGCAGAUGUUGAGGGAGUGAACCUCUAAGGUCUCUCUUGAGUUUUGAGUUUUUGCUCUUAGGAUCUA